rnacentral:rRNA from 1 species
CACGAUCACCCUCUCAGGUCGGCUACGUAUCGUUGCCUUGGUAAGCCGUUACCUUACCAACUAGCUAAUACGGCGCGGGUCCAUCUAUAAGUGAUAGCAAAACCAUCUUUCACUUUAGAACCAUGCGGUUCUAAAUGUUAUCCGGCAUUAGCCCCGGUUUCCCGGAGUUAUUCCAGUCUUAUAGGUAGGUUACCCACGUGUUACUCACCCGUCCGCCGCUAACGUCAAAGGAGCAAGCUCCUUAUCUGUUCGCUCGACUUGCAUGUAUUAGGCACGCCGCCAGCGUUCAUCCUGAGCCAGGAU